rnacentral:rRNA from 1 species
GGAGGUAGUGACAAUAAAUCACAAUGCGGGACUGUUAGUCUUGCAAUUGGAUUGAGAACAACGUACAACUCUUAUCGAUAAGCCAUUGGAGGGCAAGUCUGGUGCCAGCAGCCGCGGUAAUUCCAGCUCCAAUAGCGUAUAUUAACGUUGUUGCAGUUAAAAAGCUCGUAGUUGAAGUGAGGGAGUGUGUGGGUAUGAGAGCUAGUCUCAAGUACUUACAACCUCCCCCUUCCAAUCGGUGUAGUGGGGUAUUCACUUAUUCCACUACUCCUUUGGUCGUUUACUGUGAGAAAAUUAGAGUGUUCAAAGCGGGCGUUUGUUUGAAUAGAUUAGCAUGGAAUAAUGAUUGAAGGCUUUCGUGUUCGAUUUGAUUGGUUUGUUCAUGGAAGCAAGGUUAAAAGGAACAGUUGGGGGUAUUCAUAUUCACUAGUUAGAGGUGAAAUUCUCGGAUUUAUGGAAGAUGAACAAGUGCGAAAGCA